UACGAAAUUUUGAUUUUAGAGAACUGUGCAGCAAUUAAAAAAAUUAUGGACUAAUUUAAAGCAAGCUCAAAGAGAUGCCUUAACUAAGGAAAGGCAAUCACGUCUAGCAACUGGUGGAGGACCGCAGGAAAUAGAAGCAAAUAUUGAUCCUGAUAUUCUUAAUAUUGCACCGCAUCUGAUGACAAAUGCACCAGUAUUAUUCUCAUCAAACAUGACUGAAACAGAAAUGAAAGAUAAACACGAGUUAACAGUAAACUUAUUAUCUAUGAAUGAAAAUUUAGAUGUUUUACAUAGUACAGACGAAAAUUUACAGACAAGUGAUGACGAUAAUCAAAAUAAAGAAAUAAUCGAAAUAAAUAAUAAAUAAUAAUGCAAAUAAUGUAACAGACAGUACAAACACAACUGUUGUAAUAUUUAGAGGGCGAAGUGAAA